UGUACAGCUGGUUGCUGAACCCGGUGGGUGGUGAGGAACACAGCACAGAGAUGAUGCACAUCACGGAGGUCCAAACCAUUCUGGCAAUGCGGACAAGAAUGUACGUCAUUUUCGGGGCAGAAAAAUCUACUGCCGGAGUCGGGCGAGCUACCCGACAAGGAGACUCGAUCUUCAGGGGACACAGGAAGAUGGCUGCUGACACCACUACAAAUAUCACUGCAAUCAGGAACUUAGACCCUGGUGAGAAAAAAAAAGUCAAACAAUAAGUGUGGAAGCCCUGGAAGACGAACGAGCACAGCAGGGUCAACGCCCCAACAGCACCAAACUGCAAGAAAGGAGCUGUGGCCUGCCGACAGGCCGACACGCACAUCAGAAACACAUGACGGACACAGGCAACUAAGAACAAAACAACAACAGACAUUUACAUUAUAAUAUUCCCACAAAAACUGGUCUCACUGUACCUGGAG